rnacentral:rRNA from 1 species
UACGAAGGGGGCUAGCGUUGUUCGGAAUUACUGGGCGUAAAGCGCACGUAGGCGGACUACUAAGUCAGGGGUGAAAUCCCGGGGCUCAACCUCGGAACUGCCUUUGAUACUGAUAGUCUCGAGUCCGGAAGAGGUGAGUGGAAUUCCGAGUGUAGAGGUGAAAUUCGUAGAUAUUCGGAGGAACACCAGUGGCGAAGGCGGCUCACUGGUCCGGUACUGACGCUGAGGUGCGAAAGCGUGGGGAGCAAACAGG